AGUAAGUUUUCUUUUAUGAUUGCAAUCUAAUAAUUUUUGCUGUCAAGCAGAUGUAAGAAGGGCCAUUGUAUUAAAAAGUAACUUUGCAUUGUAUUUUGGUUAGUUUUAUUUACAAACAUUAGGCAAGAAGAAAGAAGGAAGGCCCUUAGACUUGGAACAGUUUCGGCCAGCUCUUAAAAGACAGCUGGAACUAAUAGAAGAAGGAAGGAGGGAGAGAGGAGAAAUAAAGGACAGUGAUGAUGGGGAAGAAACAGGGGCAGGAAAGGAAAUAGAGGGGACAGAAGAGACGGAGACGGGAGAAGACACAGGCACGGGAGGGGAGACAGAGAGAGAGAAGGGAAAGAAAUUCAAAGUAACAAUGGAGCAUUAAUGUAAACAAUAAUAACUUAAUCUCUUUUUGUUAGAAGAAAAGGAGACAACAUAGUGGUAAUGGGAAGCAGGGACGAGGUGGAGGGGGAGGAGCAGGAAGAGGAGGUGGCCAAAAAAGAGGGGGAGGUGGCCAAGGAAGAGGUGGAGGUGGCCAAGGAAGAGGG